rnacentral:tRNA from 1 species
GUGCGGGUGCCGGAGUGGUUUAACGGAACUGUCUGUAAAACAGUUGGCCAUUGGCUAUCGCGGGUUCGAAUCCCACCCCGCACA